AUGGAAGGCAUCCGGGGGUGGCGGCUGCUCUGGGCUGCGGCCCUGGGGGAGCAGCUCCCCUGGACCACACCUGGAGACUCUACCAUCAGCAAAAAUGACAGGGAAAAGGCCUCUGUACCACUGUCCUGUGACUGGGCAGAAAAGGAGGUCUUGCUCCCGCUCAAGGAACCUUCUAAAAUGCACCUGCUGCUGCUCGCAGUUCUCUUCUUGAGCCCUCACCAGGCAGCAGCUGACGAGGAGACCCGGAUGAUGACGGAAGCUCUGGAGACGUUCCUAAGGCCUCGUGACUGUGUUUGGAAGGUGUUUGCAUCUGUGCAGCUCAGCAGGCAAGCAGCUCUUGCUGGGGGGUACAGCGGCCUCUGCUCCAUUUGCUUAAAAGGGGGAGGUGCAAGGAAUGAGGCUCUAAUUAGGUGUCUUAAAAAAUUAACACAUGAGGCGCCGAUGGUCGUUGUGGGAGUCGGUCUCGGUCCGGCACCCCAGAACUCCAACUGGCAGACAGGCAUGUGUGACUGCUUCAGCGACUGUGGAGUCUGCCUCUGUGGCACGUUUUGUUUCCCGUGCCUUGGGUGUCAAGUUGCAGCUGAUAUGAAUGAAUGCUGUGUGGAGCAAGCGUCGCAAUGAGGACUCUCUACAGGACGUGAUAUGGCAUCCCUGGAUCUAUUUGUGAUGAUUAUAUGGCAACCCUUUGCGGUCCUCCUUGUACUCUUUGCCAAAUCAAGAGAGAUAUCAACAGAAGGAGAGUCAUGCGUACUUUCUAAAAACUGAUGGUGAAAAGCUCCUACCGAAGCAACAAAAUUCAGCAGACACCUCUUCAGCUUGAGUUCUUCACCAUCUUUUGCAACUGAAAUAUGAUGGAUAUGUUUAAGUACAACUGAUGGCAUGAAAAAAAUCAAAUGUUUGAUUUAUUAUAAAUGAACGUUGUCCCUGAGCUUAGCUAAAUGGUGCGACUUAGUUUCUCCCUGCUUUCAUAUUAUCGAAUUUCCUGUCUUAUAGACUUUUUAAAUUACAUUUGAAAUAUAAACCAAAUAAAA